rnacentral:rRNA from 1 species
UGCAGUCGAGCGGUAAGGCACUUCGGUGUACACGAGCGGCGAACGGGUGAGUAACACGUGAGUAAUCUGCCCUUCACUUCGGGAUAAGCUUCGGAAACGGGGUCUAAUACCGGAUACGACAACUCCCUGCAUGGGGUGGUUGUGGAAAGUUUUUCGGUGGGGGAUGUGCUCGCGGCCUAUCAGCUUGUUGGUGGGGUAAUGGCCUACCAAGGCUUCGACGGGUAGCCGGCCUGAGAGGGUGACCGGCCACACUGGGACUGAGACACGGCCCAGACUCCUACGGGAGGCAGCAGUGGGGAAUAUUGGACAAUGGGCGGAAGCCUGAUCCAGCAACGCCGCGUGAGGGAUGACGGCCUUCGGGUUGUAAACCUCUUUCAGUACCGACGAAGCGAAAGUGACGGUAGGUACAGAAGAAGCACCGGCCAACUACGUGCCAGCAGCCGCGGUAAUACGUAGGGUGCGAGCGUUGUCCGGAAUUAUUGGGCGUAAAGGGCUCGUAGGCGGUUUGUCGCGUCGGGAGUGAAAACACCGGGCUUAACUCGGUGCUUGCUUUCGAUACGGGCAGACUAGAGGCAUUCAGGGGAGAACGGAAUUCCUGGUGUAGCGGUGAAAUGCGCAGAUAUCAGGAGGAACACCGGUGGCGAAGGCGGUUCUCUGGGAAUGUCCUGACGCUGAGGAGCGAAAGUGUGGGGAGCGAACAGGAUUAGAUACCCUGGUAGUCCACACCGUAAACGUUGGGCGCUAGGUGUGGGGCCUAUUCCAUGGGUUCCGUGCCGCAGCUAACGCAUUAAGCGCCCCGCCUGGGGAGUACGGCCGCAAGGCUAAAACUCAAANGAAUUGACGGGGGCCCGCACAAGCGGCGGAGCAUGCGGAUUAAUUCNAUGCAACGCGAANAACCUUACCUGGGUUUGACAUACNCCGGAAAGCCACANAGAUGUGGCCCCUUUUA